GGGCCUAUAGCUCAGUUGGUUAGAGCAGCGGACUCAUAAUCCGUUGGUCCCCCGUUCAAGUCGGGGUGGGCCCACCA
rnacentral:tRNA from 2 species